UAAGGUGAUGUGUCCCCUAAAAAUGUUUCCAGAAUGGGAAGAUAAGUGAAAGCGGAUGAGAGUCCAAGCCCCAGCGGCAGCGCGGCAUCCCUUUGGCUGGAGGGACGAUUGAUCGCGAUUUGAGAGCUCUCAAGCAAUAAAUGGAUUCAGCGCCCGAAGAUGAAAAUCACGCGCGACUCUCUUUAAUGACGCGCCCCCUUUCACCUGAGGAAAUGUUAAGUAUCAGCCCGGAAGCGCCGAAGCGUAACGGACGCCGCGCUGUCAUAUUUCAUGCAGAUGGGCGAGUUAAAUAUGCCAGUAGAGCUCCAGAACAAUGGACAACCGAACUGGCCUUUGCUUUUCUUUCUAGCCCCUUUGUCUCGUCUUCGGUCUCAUAUCGCCGUGGAUAUUACGAGGGAAACAGCUGUAACGUCGAACGUGCUUUCAUGUGUAUGCGGUGUCUGCAGAACCAAAGGAACCUACGCAGUCGCAUUAACUGACUUAACGAAUACCCAACCUGAGGAGUAGGGUUACCCACUGCGUCUGGACAGGUGGCUGAAGGCAGAGAUUGAUACUGCCGAUCGAGCAAUGCAAGUGUAGCUCGUGAAGACGUUGUUGCAUCUCCCUGAAAUUGUUCUAUUUCUGGGUUCCUUCACUUUUGAAAGCGCUGCAGCUUGCAACACAUGCAGUUUGAAUUUUAUGGUCAUGGUGACCCUUCUCUUAUGGAUAUAGCUAUGUUCCCAGUGUUUUACAAGUACUGUAUAUGCUGCCAAGUUCUCGUUUUACUGGGAAAACCAUAACUAGGGCACGUUUAUGUCACAUUGACAAAUGCCUGUCAUUGUAUGCCAAAUAGCUGUCCUGCCCACAGUCAUAAAAAAUAAAGAAAUCUUAGUGCCUGAAGUAAAUAUAUUGUGAAAUGUUACCUCUUGUUUCUUCUGUAACG